CCUACGGGCGGUAGCAGUGAGGAAUAUUGGUCAAUGGACGAGAGUCUGAACCCGCCAAGUAGCGUGAAGGAUGACUGCCCUAUGGGUUGUAAACUUCUUUUAUAUGGGAAUAAAAUGUUCCACGUGUGGGAUUUUGUAUGUACCAUAUGCAUAAGGAUCGGCUAACUCCGUGACAGCAGGCGCGGUAAUACGGAGGAUCCGAGCUUUAUCCGGAUUUAUUGGGUUUAAAGGGAGCGUAGGUGGAUUGUUAAGUCAGUUGUGAAAGUUUGCGGCUCAACCGUAAAAUUGCAGUUGAAACUGGCAGUCUUGAGUACAGUAGAGGUGGGCGGAAUUCGUGGUGUAGCGGUGAAAUGCUUAGAUAUCACGAAGAACUCCGAUUGCGAAGGCAGUUCACUGGACUGCAACUGACACUGAGGCUCGAAAGUGUGGGUAUCAAACAGGAUUAGAUACCCCUGUAGUC
rnacentral:rRNA from 1 species